CCGAGAUGUUUGGAACCUGCUCAGUCUGCUGCAUCUGGUGCCAGCUGAAUUCUAGGCAUGGAAAACACUAGUUUUAGGUGGCCAAAUUUUGUUCCCCACCUGGGAUUUUGUCCCGUAGAAUCAAUCACUGGGGAUAAUAGGGUUUGUCCUUUUCGUUUGACCUUUUCCUCCAUCCCUCCAAAUUUUCUCUUCAUCUCUUACUUCUUUUGUCCUGCUCCUCUCUCUUGCCAGCACUAUGACACCUGCCCUUGAGCCAGAGGUAGAGACCCACCUCCUUCGAGCUGCCCUGCAUGCCGUCUUCACCCUGGGCACGCAGAAGGACACCACCCAAGAAAUCCAGGAUCUGCAAAGGGUCGUGCCAGACCUCCUGGAUGCCAUGCUGGGGAACCUGCUGGCAGAGUCCCCAGACACCAACAGGCUCCACUACAUCUUGAAGCACAAUGACACCUGCCCAUGAGCUAGAGGUAGAGACCCACCACCUUUGAGCUGCCCUGCAUGCCGUCUUCACCCUGGGCACGCAGAAGGACACCACCCAAGUCCAGGAUCUGCAUAGGGUCUUGCCAGACCUCCUGGAUGCCAUGCUG